UCCCCGCUUCUCCUCCCUGAGCGGGGGUGCCUGUCGAUAUUCGAUUAGGCUGUUAACCCGCCGUCACGCGGCGGGUUUUUUUAU
rnacentral:ncRNA from 1 species